rnacentral:misc_RNA from 1 species
AACGCACGAGACCUGCGGACCUGCGGAAGGAUCAUUACCAAGAGAAAUCUUUCAACACUGAAAGAUCUUUUCCUUUGUGCUGGCUUUGACCGUAUGUAAUUUUGGGACUUUAAAAUGGUUCGCAAGGGCCGGUCCCAAAAACAAUAUAUCAUCCUUAUGAAAUUUUUUCUGAACAAUUAAACAAAUGAUUUUAAUAAUCUGUUUAAAACAACUUUCAACAAUGGAUCUCUAGAUCGGAAG